rnacentral:sRNA from 1 species
UGUAGAUCUCAAUUAGCUAUACAGGAUUAUAAAAAGCUAGUCAGGAAAAAUUUCCUAUUGCUGUAACAGGUUGUGGAUGACUUCGUACUUGUAUUUUCACCAGAGGGCACAGUGAUUUUAGACAGUUGCCAUCUCUACUAAAAGGUGACUCAGGCCUGUUCCACUGAAGACACAGAACUGUUUGUAAUCCCAUAGACUCUCAUGUGUCUGGCCUCUUUUUCUUUUUGAGUGUGGCUCUGUUGUCCACGCUAGAGUACACUGGCGCAAUCUCAGCUCACUGCAACCUCUGCCUCCCAGGUUCAAGCCAUCCUCCCACCUCAGUCUCCUGAAUAGCUGGGACUACAGGCAUAUACCACCAUACCCAGAUAAUUUUUGUAUUUUUUUGGUAGAGGCAGGGUUUUGCCAUGUUACCCAGGCUGAUCUCAAAUUCUUGGUCUCAAGCAUUCUGCCUGCCUCGGCCUCCCAAAUGCUGAGAUUACAGGUGUGAGCCACCAUGCCUGACUAUCAUCUGGCCUCUGUUCAAUGUUUUUGACCAGGAACCUUCUUCUGCCCCCUCUAGGAAGCCUUCCUGACACCCAGUGCCGGAUUAGGUACCCCUCCUGUGUAUUCUACAGUUUCUGAUUGGCUCAUCAUGGCGUCUGUAAAUGUUGAUGAAUUUUGCUUCUCCAUAGACCCUGCCCAACAUCUCUGACCUGUGUUUGAGAGAUGUACCCCCAGUCCCUACCCUGGCUGACAUCGCCUGGAUUGCUGCGGAUGAAGAGGAGACAUAUGCCCGGGUCAGGUAGUUGAGGCAGUAGCUGGUCUGCUAAGGAAUGGAGAACUUCCCAGAAGAGGUGGCAGGCAGCAAGGAGAGAGGAAUGAGAACUGUGGGCUCAGAGAUGAGCAGAACCUUACUAUGCUAUUUAUAGGAGUGGGGCAAGGAACUUUAGGAGCACAGUGGCCUGCUGUGUCUCACUGACCUACUUGGUUUUCCCUGGUCCAGGAGUGAUACGCGCCCCCUGAGGCACACCUGGAAACCCAGCCCUCUGAUUGUCAUGCAGCGCAAUGCCUCUGUUCCCAACCUGCGUGGGUCCGAGGAGAGGCUUCUGGCCCUGAAGAAGCCAGCCCUGCCAGCCCUAAGCCGCACCACUGAGCUGCAGGAUGAACUGAGCCACUUGCGCAGCCAGAUUGCAAAGAUAGUGGCAGCUGAUGCAGCUUCGGCUUCAUUAACGCCAGAUUUCUUAUCUCCAGGAAGUUCAAAUGUCUCUUCUCCCUUACCUUGUUUUGGAUCCUCAUUCCACUCUACAACUUCCUUUGUCAUUAGUGACAUCACCGAGGAGACAGAGGUGGAGGUCCCUGAGCUUCCAUCAGUCCCCCUGCUUUGUUCUGCCAGCCCUGAAUGUUGCAAACCAGAACACAAAGCUGCCUGCAGUUCGUCUGAAGAGGAUGACUGCGUCUCUUUGUCCAAGGCCAGCAGCUUUGCCGACAUGAUGGGUAUCCUGAAGGACUUUCACCGAAUGAAACAGAGCCAAGAUCUGAACCGGAGUUUAUUGAAGGAGGAAGACCCUGCUGUGCUUAUCUCCGAGGUCCUACGGAGGAAGUUUGCUCUAAAGGAAGAAGAUAUCAGUAGAAAAGGAAACUGACAACCCUCAGCUCUGCAAACUCAGUCUCAUGCUCCUGGAAUACCUUCAAUAGCUGCCUUCCUCACCGCAGAUGUUUCUGCCUCUUAAGGACAGAUCUUCUGCAACAGUCUUGCUGACAAGCUAGAGCUUGGACUGAAAGAGAAGAGCUGGAUUAUAUGUUUCCCAGACUUCAAACCCUAGCAGAAGCUAAGGCUUGUGAUUUGACCUGAGACGUCUGUUUCAGGUAAUCAUUUAGAAUGAAGUAUCCUAGUUUAAAGGGUAAGAGAGAAGUUGUUUCUGGCUUUUCCUUGCCCCUGUGUGAAAAUAGGUCCUAAAUGACUGACUGACUUCACUGCAUUAGACCCUAUAACUGGUCUCACAAGAUACUUUGUGCCCAGCUGUCACUCACUCUCAGCAGCUUCCUUGCAGCAGAGCAGGGCUGGGGGGAAGGGGCUAUAAAUGUUUGUAUACAUGUUCACAGGGCACGGAAAAUCUUAUGCUGCUCCGUCAUAAACCUACACCAAUGCCCAGCAAUCACCCUCCUCACUUCCUCGUCUAGAUGUAGAGGUCAGGCUGCUGAACCAGCCGACACAUGGGCUACUGCUGGGAAGCCUGGGCUGUUUUUUUUCUUAAACACAUUUUAUAUUACUGAACAACCAAAUCUACCCUCCACGGCCCUGAGGCCUUAUCAGUUCCACUGAUUAAAAACUUUCUCUUCCACGGACUUUAAGCCCAGUAGGAAAGAGAAAGGAGGAGGGGGAAAGAGCAUACCAUCUUUCUUCCAGGCCCUUGACUGUUCCUUUGGGUUGGGCCAAGGUUUGUAUCUACCACACCAUGCAUGACUCAGAUGCCCUCAGGUCCCUUUCUCUAUGGUAUGUAUACUGCUUGUGUUUGGGUUGAAGCACUACCUGACAUUAAAGGAAGGACUUGGAGAG